UGCCAAUUCUUAUGUUCCGUACAAUAAGAGAUGAGGUGUAAAGGUGUUAWGUGUCCAAUGGGGGUACACCGUAACUAUUAUUGAGUGAGUGCUCAGAGAAGGUGAAAAGCCUGUAUGGUUGUGCUAACCUGUUGAACCGUGACACUGGAGAGUCUGGUUGUUUGAGANUGCAACUUAAAGCUGGUGGUAAAUUUCAUCAAAGGCUAAAUAUAUGAAGGGACUAAUAGCGAACAAGUACCAUGAGGGAAAGUUGAAAAGAACUCUGACGAGAGAGUUCAACAGUACGUGAAACCAUAUUGAGUAAAACAGAUAACUGUGUUGUUACGUGGUGUGCCUAUCAACAGUCUAUUUCGUGUUGUGAUGCCAUGAGUAUAGGCUGUCUAUUCAGCUNAUUGCUCGCGGUUAGCAUAGCCAGAGAUUCUGUGCACUAGUGCAUACUCUCCAUUGAGAAACUAUACUGCCGCGGCAUCGGUAUGCAANAGUCCGCAUUUUGUGCGUAGUUGCAUGCUGGGCGUAGCUGGUUCGUGUAGUUUAGCUGUCUCACAGCUGUGGGCUGCGUUUACUUAAGGUGGCUGCUGUAUCUGCGAAUUGGUUUAUUCCUUUUUGCGGUGAGUAUGUUGGCCGUAGGUAAGUAGCCCACCAUCAAUGGUUGACAUUAGUUAUUUGACCCGUCUUGAAACACGGACCAAGGAGUUCAAAUGGCACGCGAGUCGUCGGGUUUUGACACCCGUAGGCGAAGUGAAAUGCAAACGUGUUGUUAUUUGUGGUUGUUCCAUGAUUAAGCGAUAAGCUACUCAUGCUUUNUGGCAUUUGUAGACCGUAAGCGUGAUGU
rnacentral:rRNA from 1 species